GCUCCUGUGGCUCAGUAGGUAGAGCGUGGGACUGUUAAUCCCAAGGUCCGCGGUUCGAUCCCGUGCGGGAGCG
rfam:Fonticula alba strain ATCC 38817 unplaced genomic scaffold supercont2.2, whole genome shotgun sequence.